UGUAGGGUGGUGAAACAGGCAGACACACCUCCUUGUCUCGGUGGCGGAGAAUAAUGGGAAAACCAGCAAUGGCUAACCACUCCUUGAAGGUUCGAUUCCUUCCCCUACAG
rnacentral:tRNA from 1 species